AGUUUGAUCCUGGCUCAGGAUGAACGCUGGCGGCGUGCCUAACACAUGCAAGUCGAGCGAUUCUCUUCGGAGAAGAGCGGCGGACGGGUGAGUAACGCGUGGGUAACCUGCCCUGUACACACGGAUAACAUACCGAAAGGUAUGCUAAUACGAGAUAAUAUACUUUUAUCGCAUGGUAGAAGUAUCAAAAGCUCCGGCGGUACAGGAUGGACCCGCGUCUGAUUAGCUAGUUGGUAAGGUAACGGCUUACCAAGGCGACGAUCAGUAGCCGACCUGAGAGGGUGAUCGGCCACAUUGGAACUGAGACACGGUCCAAACUCCCACGGGAGGCAGCAGUGGGGAAUAUUGCACAAUGGGCGAAAGCCUGAUGCAGCAACGCCGCGUGAGCGAUGAAGGCCUUCGGGUCGUAAAGCUCUGUCCUCAAGGAAGAUAAUGACGGUACUUGAGGAGGAAGCCCCGGCUAACUACGUG
rnacentral:rRNA from 1 species